GACGAACGCUGGCGGCGUGCUUAACACAUGCAAGUCGAACGGAAAGGCCCUGCUUUUGUGGGGUGCUCGAGUGGCGAACGGGUGAGUAACACGUGAGUAACCUGCCCUUGACUUUGGGAUAACUUCAGGAAACUGGGGCUAAUACCGGAUAGGAGCUCCUGCUGCAUGGUGGGGGUUGGAAAGUUUCGGCGGUUGGGGAUGGACUCGCGGCUUAUCAGCUUGUUGGUGGGGUAGUGGCUUACCAAGGCUUUGACGGGUAGCCGGCCUGAGAGGGUGACCGGCCACAUUGGGACUGAGAUACGGCCCAGACUCCUACGGGAGGCAGCAGUGGGGACUAUUGCACAAUGGGCGGAAGCCUGAUGCAGCAACGCCGCGUGCGGGAUGACGGCCUUCGGGUUGUAAACCGCUUUCGCCUGUGACGAAGCGUGAGUGACGGUAAUGGGUAAAGAAGCACCGGCUAACUACGU
rnacentral:rRNA from 1 species